AUCUCUCCCUGAUUGCCUGUAAGGCAGUUCUUACUCCGACGACUACCGUGGAAGACUCGGCUUCUUCUUCUUCACCCAAGACUGUAUUAGAUAUAGAAAAGAGUUCUAAAUUUGGAUCUGGAUAUAAAAAGGGAAAGGGUAUUUCUGAAAUUCCUUUGCAUGCAAAGGAGAAAGCCUCUGAGGCUGGAUCUGGUAAGGCGAAGGUGGACGGUGGUGUAAGUACUACUACUUGAUGGGCCAAUAUUAUUGGUAAGGAUUUGACAGAGAUUAAAUUCGUUGACAUUCCCGAUUCGGC
rnacentral:lncRNA from 1 species